AUGAGAGUGGCGCACGGGUGCGUAACACGUAUGUAACCUACCUUAGUCAGGGGGAUAGCCUCUCGAAAGAGAGAUUAAGACCGCAUAACAUAUUGAAGUGGCAUCGCUUUAAUAUCAAAUAUUUAUAGGACUAAGAUGGGCAUGCGCAACAUUAGCUAGUUGGUGUGGUAACGGCAUACCAAGGCGACGAUGUUUAGGGGAUCUGAGAGGAUGACCCCCCACACUGGUACUGAGACACGGACCAGACUCCUACGGGAGGCAGCAGUAAGGAAUAUUGGUCAAUGGACGGAAGUCUGAACCAGCCAUGCCGCGUGCAGGAAGACGGCCCUACGGGUUGUAAACUGCUUUUGCAGGGGAAUAAACCUCGAUACGUGUAUCGAGUUGAAUGUACCUUGAGAAUAAGGAUCGGCUAACUCCGUGCCAGCAGCCGCGGUAAUACGGAGGAUCCAAGCGUUAUCCGGAUUUAUUGGGUUUAAAGGGUGCGUAGGCGGCUUUUUAAGUCAGGGGUGAAAGACGGUAGCUCAACUAUCGCAGUGCCCUUGAUACUGAAGAGCUUGAAUGUACUUGAGGUAGGCGGAAUGUGACAAGUAGCGGUGAAAUGCAUAGAUAUGUCACAGAACACCAAUUGCGAAGGCAGCUUACUAAAGUAUGAUUGACGCUGAGGCACGAAAGCGUGGGGAUCAAACAGGAUUAGAUACCCUGGUAGUCCACGCCCUAAACGAUGAACACUCGAUGUUGGCGAUAUACGGUCAGCGUCUAAGCGAAAGCGUUAAGUGUUCCACCUGGGGAGUACGCCCGCAAGGGUGAAACUCAAAGGAAUUGACGGGGGCCCGCACAAGCGGAGAGCAUGUGGUUUAAUUCGAUGAUACGCGAGAACUUACCCGGGCUUGAAAGUAGUGAAUGUGACAGA
rnacentral:rRNA from 1 species